UUUAGACUUCUUCGAUGAUAGCAAAAAUACAAGAGAAUGAAGAAGCAACCUUAAUUUUUUCCUCCUGUGCAUUUCACAAGCAUCUUUUUUUCCUAACAUAUCUUGGUGACAGAAAUCCCUUGCAGUACACAUGGUACAGGGAUUUACUGUGAUACAGUUUUACCAAAUACCAGAGUAUUUAGGAGACUGUAUGUGCAGUAAAUGGAACCUAAGUAUUUGUAUUAUGUAGCAGAUGUUAAAAAUAAGACAGUCUGUCUCCUUCUGGCUGUGAUGUUUGCCUUCCCAGCAAAAAGCCUGGCUACCUUUGAGCUGCCACACAGACCACAGGGAGCAGUGGCAGUCUGCACUGACUGUGCUGUGCUGGCACCUGGCAUGGCCAACAAGGACCAGGGUUUAGAAGGGUUUGGCCAAUGUCUUGGGACUGGUGUUUUAAAAUAAUUUGACUUUAAUGUAUAUAUCUCACUCGGGGCCUGGAUUUUCAGAAGAGCUUUGCUACUGGCUUCUGGGCUGUUUGGAAGUGCAGGUGCUUCCUUUGGGUGCCUAUGCUGGAGCAGACAGAGGCAGGCCUGUGGAGAGCUGCAGUCCAUGCAGGGAUCUCUGUCCCGAGGGAACUUCCAAAGCGGCAGUCCCAGCCAGGAUGGGAGACACAUGUGACUGCUGCUGUGUGUCCUGUUGGCUGAGCCUUCCUUGGACACCACUCAGAAAUGCCAGAGGCUGUCAGAAAGAAGCAGAGCACUCAAAAUACAUUUAGGGUGGAAGAUCUACCCUGAGUGAAGGUCACAGGACUUUUCUGCUAAUUGAAGGAAGAUGAGGCCUCUUCUGAUGAAGAAUCAACAGUCAUUACUGAAAACUUUAAAUAAGUCUUUGAAUAAAGAGUAGUAUGUCUGCAGCUACAAGCUAGUUCAUCUGUCUACACACCAUACUCGUGUUCAUAUGUAAAAUGGUGAAAAAUGUGUUUGUAAGGACACUUGUAGGCUGUACAAUGCUGUGCUGAAGCUUUUAUUGCAUUGAUUCAAAUACUUUCUGCAGUUUAUGUAAAGUAAUCUUUCUGUAUCUCGUGGAAUUUGCAUCCUGGGAGUGAUUGAUACUCUGAGUGAGAUGAAGCCGACUUCCAUUCCCUACCACACAGUGCUUCAGGUGUGCAUCCCUUUGAAUGCAUCUCACCUGCUUUCCAUACUACCUUCCUGCUGUUUCCUUUCUGCCUAAAUACAGGAAAUGUAACUCCCAACAGCUCACUAGGCAUCUCUUCUCCACAGACACUGUGUGAGUAACCUUUGUUAUGAGUUUCUUUCUUGGUGGUGGUGGGAGACCAGGCAAAGUAGGGACUUGGCUGGUGCUGGGUGUGUAAAUGCACUGGCCCCUGCUGAACAGAAUUUGUGGCAAGUUGUGAGAAGCUAGGAAGCCACUGAGAAGGGAAAGAUCUAAUUGACUCACCUCUUUCUUUUGUGUUGAGAAUCAAAAUUAGGCUUCUAAAAUGACUUUUUCAUAGUCCUCUAGACCUGUGUAAUUAGCUCUCUAGCUUAUGUGUGAACAGUAUUUUCUUCUCUCGGCUUUUACUUUCAUAGGUUAUUAUCUGAUGGUGUGCACAUCUUUAGAGUCCACCUUUUUGUAAAGGAAUCUACCAGUGUCUGACUGCCCAUUUGUCCUGAUGACAAGGAAAUUUGGCACAGCUCUCCAAAAUAAUCUUUGCAGCACAGAAACUUGAAGUGUGGAAGUGAUUGUGGUGAGUUACAUGCAUACAGGAUGACAGCAAGCUGAUUUUCCAAAUUGCUCUGCUUUGUCACUGUUAACUCCCGGCAUCAGGCCAUCUAGAUACUCUGUUCCUGAGGCAUGUUCUGCCAGUUCCAGAGCUGUCCCUCCAACUAUAUCACCUUCCUGAAGGUCACUUGUGCUUCUACAACAACAUGGGGUGUCCCUGACUGCCGGACUCAGCAUCCCUCUCUGCCUCUCACCUUGCUUCAGCUCUGUGUGAAAAUCUCUGCUGCUGCAACCUCGGGAUCACCAGAAAAGCAACAUCCCUUAAAAAGGAGUGCUCAUACUUAGAAGGAGCUUUAUUGCAUUUUAAUUACUGGAUUCCAAAACCUAUAAAUAUACCCUAAUGCUAAAAUAAAAUGUGAACUUUUAAACUUGA